AGAGUUUGAUCCUGGCUCAGAGCGAACGGCUGGCGGCAUGCUUAACACAUGCAAGUCGCACGGUCAGCAAUGGCAGUGGCGGACGGGUGAGUAACGCGUAGGAAUCUAUCUCUGGGUGGGGGAUAACGUCGGGAAACUGACGCUAAUACCGCAUGACACCUGAGGGUCAAAGGCGCGAGUCGCCUGGGGAGGAGCCUGCGUACGAUUAGCUUGUUGGUGGGGUAACGGCCUACCAAGGCGACGAUCGUUAGCUGGUCUGAGAGGAUGAUCAGCCACACUGGGACUGAGACACGGCCCAGACUCCUACGGGAGGCAGCAGUGGGGAAUAUUGGACAAUGGGCGAAAGCCUGAUCCAGCAAUGCCGCGUGAGUGAAGAAGGUCUUCGGAUUGUAAAGCUCUUUCGGUGGGGACGAUGAUGACGGUACCCACAGAAGAAGCCCCGGCUAACUUCGUGCCAGCAGCCGCGGUAAUUC
rnacentral:rRNA from 1 species